ACUUAGUGGCGGACUGGUGAGUAACGCGUGGAUAACCUGCCUUACACUGGGGGAUAACACUUAGAAAUAGGUGCUAAUACCGCAUAAGCGCACAGAGCCGCAUGGCUCAGUGUGAAAAACUCCGGUGGUGUAAGAUGGAUCCGCGUCUGAUUAGCUGGUUGGCGGGGUAGAAGCCCACCAAGGCGACGAUCAGUAGCCGGCCUGAGAGGGUGAACGGCCACAUUGGGACUGAGACACGGCCCAAACUCCUACGGGAGGCAGCAGUGGGGAAUAUUGCACAAUGGGGGAAACCCUGAUGCAGCAACGCCGCGUGAGUGAAGAAGUCAUUCGAGAUGUAAAGCUCUAUCAGCAGGGAAGAAAAUGACGGUACCUGAGUAAGAAGCCCCGGCUAACUACGUGCCAGCAGCCGCGGUAAUACGUAGGGGGCAAGCGUUAUCCGGAUUUACUGGGUGUAAAGGGAGCGUAGACGGCCAGACAAGUCUGAAGUGAAAAUCCAGCGCUUAACGUUGGAAGUGCUUUGGAAACUGCCGGGCUAGAGUGCAGGAGGGGCAGGCGGAAUUCCUAGUGUAGCGGUGAAAUGCGUAGAUAUUAGGAGGAACACCAGUGGCGAAGGCGGCCUGCUGGACUGCAACUGACGUUGAGGCUCGAAGGCGUGGGGAGCAAACAGGAUUAGAUACCCUGGUAGUCCACGCGGUAAACGAUGAUUACUAGGUGUCGGGGGGCUAGAGCCCUUCGGUGCCGUCGCAAACGCAAUAAGUAAUCCACCUGGGGAGUACGUUCGCAAGAAUGAAACUCAAAGGUAUUGACGGGGACCCGCACAAGCGGUGGAGCAUGUGGUUUAAUUCGAAAGCACGCGAAGAACCUUACCUGACCUUGACA
rnacentral:rRNA from 1 species